rnacentral:tRNA from 1 species
UAGUGUGUAAUAUGGUAGCAUGAAGAAUUCUGAAUUCUUAGGGGUAGGUUCAAUUCCUAUCAUUUUAG